CCUACGUGGUGCAGCAGUGAGGAAUAUUGGUCAAUGGACGAGAGUCUGAACCAGCCAAGUAGCGUGAAGGAUGACUGCCCUAUGGGUUGUAAACUUCUUUUAUAAAGGAAUAAAACGAGGCACGUGUGCCUUUUUGCAUGUACUUUAUGAAUAAGGAUCGGCUAACUCCGUGCCAGCAGCCGCGGUAAUACGGAGGAUCCGAGCGUUAUCCGGAUUUAUAAGGUUUAAAGGGAGCGUAGAUGGGUUGUUAAGUCAGUUGUGAAAGUUUGCGGCUCAACCGUAAAAUUGCAAUUGAUACUGGCAGUCUUGAGUACAGUUGAGGUAGGCGGAAUUCGUGGUGUAGCGGUGAAAUGCUUAGAUAUCACGAAGAACCCCGAUUGCGAAGGCAGCUUACUAAACUGUGACUGACAUUGAUGCUCGAAAGUGUGUGUAUCAAACAGGAUUAGAUACCCCUGUAGUC
rnacentral:rRNA from 1 species